rnacentral:lncRNA from 1 species
AAAUGGUCUCUCUCUCUUGUAAAAAACUAUUGCCAAGAAUUGAGAGACAAAAAACAGUGGCUGAAUUUGUGAAAGUGAGAGAAAUUCAAGGGACAAAAACUGUGGUAGAAUUGGUAGACAAUUGGAGAGUCAACAACGGCAGCUAUCAUUGUGAGAAUUAGAAUCUGCCGCUGUUGGAACUUGGGGGAGAAAUAGCCGGCUGCUGGGAGACAUGUCGAGAGAAGAAAAGCUGGAAUUGAGAAAAACAUGUUGCUGCUCAAUUAAGGUGUGGAUUCACACGGUUGAUUUUCUUCUCUACACAUAACAAAUUGGAAUUUCUCUAAGAUAUAUUUUGAAUUAAUAUUCAAAGUGGAUUCUCACAAGUUUAAUCAUAGUGUUGAUUUGUGGUGAGAUAAUUAUAGUCUUACAGAUUGGUUUAUUGUGGUAUUUCCAAUUUACGGAGAAUUCAAGUUUAGGGGCAUAAACUUGAAUAAUUGUAAUCUAUAUUUUAUUAGAGUGAAUUUUGGCCGGAGUUGCCUCGUGAUUUUUUUUCCUCUACACUGGAAGGUUUUUUCCACGUAAAAAUUUGGUGUUCCGUUUUGUUUGUUUUUUGCUUUAAUCAUCUGCUUGCAUAUUUAAUUGCUCCAAUUAACUGAUUGGAUUGAUAAAUUUAUUUAUGCAAUAAUUGAAUUUGCCCAACAAAGUGGUAUCAGAGCUAAGGUUGUGUGGGUGUAGUUUUAUUGUGGAAUAAAUGGAGAAUACUUCGGGCAUUAUGAUUAAAUUGUCGGCUUCAAAUUAUUCUGUUUGGAAGCCUAUGAUGGAGGAUAUCCUGUAUUGUAAGGAUUUACAUGAACCUAUUGAAGGUGAUAGUGCUAAGCUAAGCAGUGUGAGUGACGGUGACUGGAAGAAGAUGAACAGGAAAGCCAUUGGAUAUAUUAGACAGUGGGUUGACCUUAAUGUGUUCCAUCAUAUAUCUCAAGAGACAGAUUCCCAUAGUCUUUGGGAAAAAUUGGAGAGUCUUUAUGAAAGAAAGACCACUCAAAAUAAAACUUUUGCUAUUAGAACGCUUGUAAAUCUGAAGCUAAAGGAGGGAAAAUCAGUUGCUGAGCAUUUGAGUGAAUUCCAAGACUUGGUAAAUCAGUUGACCACGAUGAAAAUAGUGCUAGAUGAUGAGAUGCAAGCACUAUUACUUUUUAGUUCAUUGCCUGACAAUUGGGAGACUUUGGUGGUAUCACUUAGUAACUCUGCUCCGAAUAGUGUGCUUGAACUUACUCUAGUUAAAGACAGCAUGUUUAAUGAAGAAAUAAGAAGGAAAGACUUGGGUAGGAAUGACACAGGUUCUUGUUACAGAGAACAGAGGAAGGUGUAAAAGCAAAGGUCCUAAGGGACGUGGUAACUUCAGAAGUCAGUCAAAGGCAAGAGGAAAGGUCAAAUGUUUUUAUUGUGACAAAGAGGGUCACGUAAAGAAGAAUUGCCUCGCUUGGAAAAAUAAAUUGAAAGAAGAGAAAAAUCAGAAGAAGAUUGAUCAGGAUAUAGCAGCUAGCGCUUCAGAUGAGGAAGUAGUGAUAGCAAUUUUUCUAUUGAAGAUGAACAGUGUUGUCAUGUUGCAGAUUCAUUUGUUGAAUGGGUUAUUGACUCUGGGGCUUCUUACCAUGUUACUCCAAGACGGGAGUUCUUCACUUCAUACAAAUCAGGUGACUUUGGUAGGGUGAAGAUGGGUAAUGAUAGUUUUCGAGCAUUGUCAGAAUUGGUGAUAUUUGUGUUCAGACGAAUAUUGGAUGCAACUUGACAUUGAAAAAUGUGCAACAUGUGCCAGCCAUGCGCUUGAAUUUGCUAUCCACACAUGCCUUUGAUGAGGCAGGGUAUGACAGUUAUUUUGGCAGCGGAAGAUGGAAGCUAACAAAAGGUUCGAUGGUAUUUGCUAGAGGAAAGGUUUGUUGUACACUUUACAAGACAUAAGUAAAGAUGUGUAGUGAAGCGGUGAAUGCAGCUGAAAGUGAUUCAUCACUAGACUUGUGGCACAAGAGACUGGCUCACAUAAGCGAGAAAGGAUUGCAGACUUUGGCAAGGAAGUCCCUCAUUCCUUUUACCAAAGGUACAUCGUUAAACUCUUGUGAUUAUUGUUUAUUUGGUAAACAUCAUAGAGUUUCAUUUCAAAAAUCCUCUAGUAGAAAGUCAAAUAUUUUAGAUUUGAUUUAUUCUGACGUUUGUGGUCCCAUUGAGGUGGAAUCCUUAGGUGGUAGUAAGUAUUUUCUUACUUUUAUUGAUGAUGCUUCACGAAAGUUGUGGGUGUUCUUUUUGAGAUCAAAAGACCAGGUCUUUCGGUACUUCAAGGAGUUCCAUGCCAUGGUGGAACGAAAAAUUGGAAAGCUCUUGAAGUGUCUCCGAACUGAUAACGGAGGGGAAUAUACGUCUAAAGUGUUUAAAGAUUACUGCUCAAAACAUGGUAUUAGACAUGAGAAAAUAGUUCCUGGUACCCCACAGCACAACGGUGUGGCAGAGAGAAUGAACCGAACUAUUAUGGAAAAGGUCAGAAGCAUGAUAAGGAUGGCUGGGUUAUCUAAGUCAUUCUGGGGUGAAGCAGUUCGAAUAGCGUGCUACCUAAUCAAUCGGUCUCCAUCAGCUCCUUUGAAUUUUGAUAUUCCAGAAAAAGUGUGGGCAGGAAAGGACGUUUCUUAUUCUCACUUGAAGGUGUUUGGGUGCAAAGCAUUUGCACAUGUGCCAAAGGAACAUCAAUUGAAACUAGAUGAUAGAUCUAGUCCUUACAUUUUUGUUGGUUAUGGAAAUGCAAAAUUUGGCUAUAGAUUAUGGGAUCCAGAAAAGAAGAAACUAAUCAGAAGCAGAGAUGUGAUUUUUCAUGAAAAUCAGAAGUUGGCAGAUUUUGAGAAAUCUGGGAAUCAGAGACGUGUUGCUGAAGGUGUCACUGACCUUACACCUAUUUCUUUGCCUCCAGACAGUGCCACUCAGGGGGUAGAGACACACGUUGACAGACAUGCUGAUGAGCCAGCAGGGGUUGAUGAGGAUGAUUUAGAGGAUGUUGAGCAGGGGGAGCAGCCUACUACAUCAGAACCUCAGAUCAGAAGAUCUAACAGGGAGCAUCGUCCAUCAACCAGGUAUCCAGUGUCAGAUUAUGUGUUGGUAACUGAUGAGGGGGAGCCAGAAUGCUUUGAAGAGGUAGAAUCUCAUAAGGAUAAACAAAGCUGGGUAAAAGCUAUGCAGGAAGAGAUGAAUUCUUUGCAGAAGAAUGACACUUAUGAGCUAGCAAAGCUUCCUAAAGGUAAAAAGGCAUUGAAAAAUAAAUGGGUGUUCAAGUUGAAGAAAGAUGGCGAAAAGCUAGUGAAGUAUAAAGCUCGAUUGGUGGUAAAAGGCUUUGGUCAGAAGAAAGGGAUUGACUUUGAUGAGAUAUUCUCUCCUGUUGUCAAAAUGACUUCUAUUCGAGUGGUUUUAGGUUUAGUAGCUAGUUUGGAUCUUGAGCUUGAGCAGUUAGAUGUCAAGACCACCUUUCUCCAUGGUGAUUUGGAGGAAGAAAUCUACAUGGUUCAGCCAGAGGGAUUUGAAGUAAGAGGAAAAGAGCAUAUGGUUUGCAGAUUGAAAAAGAGUUUGUAUGGGUUGAAACAGGCUCCAAGACAGUGGUAUAAGAAGUUUGAUUCCUUUAUGGUGGGUCAUAGUUAUACCAGGAUAGAUGCAGAUCAUUGUGUUUAUGUUAGAGAAUUCCAUGGUGGUAACUUCAUCAUCCUUUUGUUAUAUGUAGAUGAUAUGUUGAUAUUGGGACAAGAUGUUCAGUUGAUUCGCAGUUUGAAAAUAGAUCUGUUUAAGUUGUUUGACAUGAAGGAUCCUGGACCAGCAAGACAAAUUUUGGGGAUGCAUAUUCGUCGCGAUAGGAAAGCCAUAAAGUUAUGGUUAUCGCAGGAAAAAUAUGUAGAGAGAGUGCUGGAAAGGUUUUACAUGAAGAAUGCUAAACCAGUUUGGACACCACUUGGUAGUCACUUCAAACUGAGUAAGAUGACAUGUCCUUCUAAAGAAGAAGAUAAAGAAAGAAUGGCAAAGGUUCCUUACUCCUCUAUGGUUGGGAGUUUAAUGUAUGCUAUGGUUUGUACACGACCAUAUAUUGCUCAUGCAGUUGGGGUAGUCAGCAGGUUUCUUGUUAAUCCCGGUAAAGAUCAUUGGGAGGCAGUAAAAUGGAUCUUUAGAUACUUGGGAGGUACUUCAAAUAUGUGCUUAACAUUUGGAGGUUCAAAACCAAUUUUGGAGGGUUUUACAGAUGCAGAUAUGGCUGGUGAUCUUGAUGGUAGAAAAUCUACUUCAGGAUAUUUGGUUACUUUUACAGGGAGAGCUGUCUCAUGGCAGUCCAAAUUACAAAAGUGUGUUGCCUUAUCUACAACUGAGGCUGAGUAUAUUGCAGCAACUGAAGCAGCGAAAGAAAUGCUUUGGAUGAAACGGUUCCUUCAAGAUUUGGGUUUGAAGCAAAAUGUGUUUGUACUUAAUUGUGAUAGUCAGAGUGCAUUAGACUUGAGCAAGAAUGCUACUUAUCAUUCUCAGACGAAGCACAUUGAUGUGAGAUAUCAUUGGCUACGAUAGGUAGUGGCAGAACAAUUGAUAUUGUUAGAGAAGAUUCAUACAAAGAAUAAUCCAGCUGAUAUGAUGAUAAAAGUUGUGACCAGAGAAAAGCUUGAGUUUUGUGCCGGACUGGCCGGCAUAGAUUCUAACUAAUUUGUUAGAGGUUAAUCUCCUUCUCAGUGGGCUGGAGGGGGAGAUUGUUGACUAGAUCCAGCCCACGUGUGUAGCAACUUAAGCCCAACAUAAGAAAGAAUUGGCCCAAUUACUUAUUGUUUAAGUUAGGUCAAUUGGUGAAUAUAAAAUGGUCUCUUUCUCUCUCGUAAAAAAACUGUUGCCAAGAAUUGAGAGACAAAAAGCAGUGGCUGAAUUUGUGAAAGUGAGAGACAAAUUCAAGGGACAAAAAAUGUGGCAGAAUUGGUAGACAAUUGGAGAGGUCAACAACGGUGGCUAUCAUUGUGAGAAUUAGAAUCUGCCGCUGUUGGAACUUGGGGGAGAAAUAGCCGGCUACCGGGAGACGUGUCGAGAGAAGAAAAGCUAGAAUUGAGAAAAACAGGUUGUUGCUCAAUUAAGGUGUGGAUUCACACGGUUGAUUUUCUUCUCUACACAUAACAAAUUGGAAUUUCUCUAAGAUAUAUUUUGAAUUAAUAUUCAAAGUGGAUUCUCGCAAGUUUAAUCAUAGUAUUGAUUUGUUGUGAGAUAAUUGUAGUCUUAGAGAUUGGUUUAUUGUGGUAUUUCCAAUUUGUGGAGAAUUCAAGUUUAGGGGCAUAAAUUUGAAUAAUUGUAAUCUAUAUUUUAUUAUAGUGGAUUUUGGCCGGAGUUGCCCUGUGGUUUUUUUCCCUUUACACUGGAGGGUUUUUUCCACUUAAAAAUUUGGUGUUCCGUUUUGCUUAUUUUUUGCUUUUGAUCAUCUGCUUACAUAUUUAAUUGCUCCAGUUAACUGCUUGGAUUGAUAAAUUUAUUUAUGCAAUAAUUGAAUUUGCCCAACAAUAAGAACACAACGAGAGUAAGCAAAUGCUGUACCUGACGGAGGGCACCUGGAAUGGGGAACGAUUUAUGCUUAGAUACAAUAGAUGCACGACGAACUUUUCCAAGAUUGUUUCCUGCAGGUCUGUUUUCUAAUACUAAAUAUUCAUUUUCUGUAACAGAUUGGGCAAGGCUGAAAAUCUUCAUUUAUCUUGUACCUUCUUAUGGCUCCACCUUCAUAUUCCAUGACGUCUUCAAACACAGACAUCCAGACCAACUCAUUGAAAUACUCAUCCCCAAUUUAUUCUAGUGCCUUGCUUCCACCAUAUGGAAGAAUUAGGCCAAGUGCCAUCCACAUAUGGAUUAAUUUCUCCC